AUGCAAGUCGAAGAAGGAUUGGCCCAACCUGAGAAACUUGAGGCCAAAGUGAGUGCUGACAGCGCGAGAUUUCAGCCUCUCAUCGAUUUUUUCAUACCAACCAUCGACAGCGAGCACGGCAUAUGUUACACCCAACCUGAGAAACUUCCAGGUAUCACACUGAGUGGCCGGAAGCAUUUCUUCCAGCACAAUUCCAGGGCGUUCAAAAGGGGCGCGUGGACACGUCGCAGGAUACAGUCGGAGUGCGGCAUGCACGCGAUGUGGCACAAGACCGGCAAUACCUUGCCGGUGAUGGUCAACGGCCGGCAGACGGGCAGCAAAAAAGUUGUACUACCUUGCCGUCCGCAAGUUGGUAUUGUUGUUAACGAUCUUUUGGCCCAGCCCCUGACGACGGGGCACAAAGAUCCAGCAGGUAUCUACUGGCCUCUGGCCCGCCAGCAUUAG
rnacentral:rRNA from 1 species